rnacentral:rRNA from 1 species
GACGAACGCUGGCGGCGUGCUUAACACAUGCAAGUCGAACGGAAAGGCCCUGCUUGCAGGGUACUCGAGUGGCGAACGGGUGAGUAACACGUGGGUGAUCUGCCCUGCACUUCGGGAUAAGCCUGGGAAACUGGGUCUCAUACCGGAUAGGAGCCAUUCUUAGUGUGAUGGUUGGAAAGUUUUUUUGGUGUAGGAUGAGCUCGCGGCCUAUCAGCUAGUUGGUGUGGUAAUGGCGUACGAAGGCGGCGACGGGUAGCCGGCCUGAGCGGGUGGACGGCCACAUUGGGACUUGGUAUCGUCCCAUGCUCCUGCCGGAGGCAGCCGUGGGGAAUCUUGCUCAAUGGGCUCUAGCCUGAUGCAGCGACGCCGCGGGGGGGAUGGCGGCCUUCGGGUUGUAAACUCCUUUCGCUAGGGACGGAGCUUUUUGUGACGGUACCUAGAUAAGAAGCACCGGCUAACUACGUG